GAUCAUCUUUGUGGCCUCCUCUGGACCCACUCAAGCAGGUCCAUGUCCUUCUUACACUGGGGGACCCACACCUGGACACAGCACUCCAGUGGGGGUCUCAGAAGACCUCCCGCGACCUGCUAUCCACACUUCCCUUGAUGCAGCCCUGGGUUGCCUGCAGCCCCUGCUGCAGCCCUUCUCUGGGUUCUCAAUCCUCCCCCCUGUUCCUUCUGUUAGAUGAAAUUCCACCUCCAUCCCGAUGCGUGCCCAGACGUCUAUACCUCCGUUUGGACAGGCAAGGCUGGCAGCUCUUGUGUUGCUGACAGGAGAGCAGCACCUGGAAGAAGAGCGACUGGUUCUUAUUAAAAACAAACAUAUUCAAGAAAAUUGACCACUUAUUGAGGAACCUAAGCUCAGGCUUCCUGGGCCCUCCAACCUACCACAGCUCCUCAUCCAAGAACCGAAAGAGAUGGUUACCCACAGCAGCAAAAGGGAAGUUGGACAACAAUGAAGAGCCAUCAUUUAUACAAUCCAACCCAGAAACAGAAAUGAAAGAGACAGCAGAAGAGCAAAAAAGAGGAACUGCAAACCAGGGAGCCUGUACCCUGAAUGCCAGUACUAAUGAUAACACAGGCCACCUGAAAGGACAGGAAAAUCCAGACAUCCACCUACUCAUUCUUCUUAUCAUGUAGCACAUGACUCAGUUAAGAUGAAGGAAAUAUCUAGAGUUGUCUGAAGGGCAAAGAGAAGAAGCUAAUCAUCAAACUAUUCAAGCUCCUCCAGAAAAGAGAUUUUAAAAGGAUGGAGAAGACGACACAGAAGCACAUAAAGCAGGAAGAAACGGAUGGAGUCACUUUCAAAUUUUAAGGCGUUUAAUAAAAAUCUAGCAUCAGAAUUUCAUCUUGCCUCAUCCUGCAAGUUGAUCUCCAUGCACAGAUGUCUCUGAUUUCUGUCUUCUUCUCUGAGGAACAGAGAUCCAGGCAGCAACCAGAAUCCACAGCACCUGGUGUGCGCCCUCUUUGCAUGCUUCAUCUGUUGCACUGUUCAUCCUGCGAAUCAAAGUCAUCAGCACCCCGCAAAAAUGUCCUCCUAUGCCAUAGGGAUGUCUGGGAUCCACGUGCAUUGGCAGGUAAUCUUGGAUUGAAUAAACUCUGGCCAAGAAUUUCAGAUGGAGGUGUCUGUGGCUGGCCUUCUGAAUCUGCAUGGAGACAACUGGAUAAACGAUCAAGCAUGCUGAUCACUUUCAACCUGACAUGAAAAUCACUGAUCUGAGUAUUUACUAACAUCUUCUCACCCAGACACGGAUACCCUUUGGCACUGGCACAUCAUUGCAAUGCUGCUGGACGUGCUCAUCAGAAAAGAUACACGUAGCUGAGUGUAUCACCAUUUUGGCAGAAUCCUAUUUAACUGAAAGAACAGAUUUACGAUGAAGUUUCAACACUCAGGAAGGCUUUAGGAACUUAAGGAUGUAGUCUAUGUAUCUUCGGGCUGAACAGGGCAUUUGGUAGGUCAGCACUCUGUUCAGGCCCAUUCAUUUUCCAUUUCUCCCUCUACUCUUGUUUUUCUAAUGCAUCAGUGGAUUACUUCUGCAGUCAAGGGUGGUUUUGCACUAGGUGCCUCCUCUUCCAGCAGAAAAAUCAGAACACAGAAUUUACAACACAAUGAGAAGCAUGAUUCUGUGGGUACCACACUAUGACACCAUGUCAGCAGUCUUGGUUUUCUACUAGACGAUCAUGGACAGGAGUCCUGCGUGACAAACUUCCAACAUUGCCGAAUCAGUGUGGAGUAUGGAGUGUAGUAAAUAUCACACACCUUGCUGCCACGCCAAAAUACCUAUCAGCUACAGCAGAAAUUGUGCCAGGUGGCCAGGCAACGGGAGGAGGCAGUACUGCUGUGCUGGCAGCAAAAGGGGGCUGUGCUGUGGCACCCUCGGGCGACGGAGGUGGGAAGCCUGGGGCACAGCGGCCAGGCCCCGGCCGGAGGCACAGCCGGGCGGGAGCAGUCCCCUCCACCGACGGUGCCCGGCUGUGCGGGGCUCUGCAGCGGGAUCGAGCCCUCUGUGCCGUGCCGCGCGACGCCCCAGCGCGUAACCCCGCACGGGGCCGGGCCCGAGGGUGCCGGCGGUGCCUUAGCUCACGUAACAGGGCUCUGUCGCCCAGCAUGGAGAGCUCAAGCCCCUCUGCUGUAGCCGCACAACACCUCACAGGAGCGAGGGGCCGGGCCACGGGGGCGGCACAAAGCGGUGGUCAGAGGGGUGAGGCUGAUGCUUACGGCGCGCUACGUUCCAGGUGUGUAUCUGCAGGAACAGUUCACGUCGCAGUUUGCAAGAGCGGUACUAUACCUGGCACUACCGCCAGCAAAUUACGGCAUCAUUUCUUUUAUUAGAAGAAACCGGUAAACCAAAAUCACACAGCGGGUCACGGUUUUCAUCAUGGCAAAGCUGAAAGCAGGAUCUCAUCAGGCAAGCGUAAUCAGAAGGUGAUCACCCUUUUCUCCGAGAAAGUAACUUCUAGAUCAUUACAUCUAGUUCAUAAAAUGUAAAAUUCUUAAAGAAAUGAUAUAUAUUUUUUUCUCAGUGGGUUAACAAAAAUUGUAUUUGGAUUUUUGAAUGAAAUUUUGGAUUUUUGAAUGAAAAAAUAUAUCGGAUUUUAAUUUAGACAUGUGAUGGAAGGAGCGAUUAAGUGAACAGAAAAUAGAAGCAAAAGAAAUAAUAAAAAAGCAAAUUUACCACUGUUUAUCCAGAAAGUAAAGUCACUAAGUAAAAA